rnacentral:tRNA from 1 species
GCGCUUGUGGUGUAAUGGCAUUGAGCAUCCCUUACGGUCAGUGGAAGGUGCGGGUUUGAGUCCCGCCUGGCGCA